UACGUAGGGGGCAAGCGUUGUCCGGAAUCAUUGGGCGUAAAGAGCGCGUAGGCGGCCCGAUAAGUCCGCUGUGAAAGUCAAGGGCUCAACCCUUGAAUGCCGGUGGAUACUGUCGGGCUAGAGUCCGGAAGAGGCGAGUGGAAUUCCUGGUGUAGCGGUGAAAUGCGCAGAUAUCAGGAGGAACACCAAUGGCGAAGGCAGCUCGCUGGGACGUUACUGACGCUAAGGCGCGAAAGCGUGGGGAGCGAACAGG
rnacentral:rRNA from 1 species